rnacentral:rRNA from 1 species
CCUACGGGCGGCAGCAGUGAGGAAUAUUGGUCAAUGGACGAGAGUCUGAACCAGCCACGUAGCGUGAAGGAUGACUGCCCUAUGGUCUGUAAACUUCUUUUAUAUGGGAAUAAAAUGUUCCACGUGUGGGAUUUUGUAGGUACCAUAUGAGUAAGGAUCGGCUAACUCCGGUCCAGCAGCCGCGGUAAUACGGAGGAUACGAGCGUUAUCCGGAUUUAUUGGGUUUAAAGGGAGCGUAGGUGGAUUGUUAAGUCAGUUGUGAAAGUUUGCGGCUCAACCGUAAAAUUGCAGUUGAAACUGGCAGUCUUGAGUACAGUAGAGGUCGGCGGAACUCGUUGUGUAGCGGUGAAAUGCUUAGAUAUCACGAAGAACUCCGAUUGCGAAGGCAGCUCUCUGGACUGCAACUGACACUGAGGCUCGAAAGUGUGGGUAUCAAACAGGAUUAGAUACCCUAGUAGUC